GUGCCAGCAGCCGCGGUAAUACCGGCAGCCCGAGUGAUGGCCGAUCUUAUUGGGCCUAAAGCGUCCGUAGCUGGCUGCGCAAGUCCGUCGGGAAAUCCACUCGCCCAACGAGUGGGCGUCCGACGGAAACUCCACACCUUGGGACCGGAAGGCUCGAAGGGUACGGCCGGGGUAGGAGUGAAAUCCCGUAAUCCCGCACGGAUCACCGAUGGCGAAAGCACCUCGAGAAGACGGCUCCGACGGUGAGGGACGAAAGCCAGGGUCUCGAACCGGAUUAGAUACCCCGGUAGUCC
rnacentral:rRNA from 1 species